rnacentral:tRNA from 1 species
UCCCUGGUGGUCUAGUGGUUAGGAUUCGGCAAUCUUACCGCUGUGGCCCAGGUUCGAUUCCUGGUCAGGGAA